GGGCCCGCACAAGCGGUGGAGCAUGUGGUUCAAUUCGACGCAACGCGAAGAACCUUACCCAGGCUUGAACUGCAGAUGACAUCCUACGAAAGUAGGCUUCCGCAAGGACAUCUGUAGAGGUGCUGCAUGGCUGUCGUCAGCUCGUGUCGUGAGAUGUUGGGUUAAGUCCCGCAACGAGCGCAACCCUUGUCUUCUGUUGCCAUCGGGUUAUGCCGGGCACUCUGAAGAGACUGCCGGUGACAAACCGGAGGAAGGUGGGGAUGACGUCAAGUCAGCAUGGCCUUUAUGUCUGGGGCCACACACGUGCUACAAUGGCCGGUACAAACCGUCGCAAACUCGCGAGGGUGAGCUAAUCGGAUAAAGCCGGUCUCAGUUCGGAUUGUAGGCUGCAACUCGCCUGCAUGAAGUUGGAAUCGCUAGUAAUCGCGGAUCAGCACGCCGCGGUGAAUACGUUCCCGGGCCUU
rnacentral:rRNA from 1 species